rnacentral:pre_miRNA from 1 species
GCUCCUUUGCGGUACUUGAGGAGAGGUCUUCCAUGAUGCAUUCGCUUUAUUUUUUGACGAAUCAUACAUGGUUGACCUUUUUUUAAGUAUCAUUUCUGGCCUU